UACGUAGGGUGCAAGCGUUAAUCGGAAUUACUGGGCGUAAAGCGUGCGCAGGCGGUUAUAUAAGACAGAUGUGAAAUCCCCGGGCUCAACCUGGGAACUGCAUUUGUGACUGUAUAGCUAGAGUACGGCAGAGGGGGAUGGAAUUCCGCGUGUAGCAGUGAAAUGCGUAGAUAUGCGGAGGAACACCGAUGGCGAAGGCAAUCCCCUGGGCCUGUACUGACGCUCAUGCACGAAAGCGUGGGGAGCGAAACAGG
rnacentral:rRNA from 1 species